AUUGCAUAAAGUUGUUACAACUGUCCAGUUUUCAAACACACCACAUUCUCCUCUUCUCAAUUUGGAAUUGACGCGAAUCAUCUCAAAACUUUGUAGUUUUAUUCUAGCUUUCAUUCUGCUUACAUCUUGCACACCUUGGAAACUAGCACCGCCUUUACAUGUCUGUUUGCAAGCAGCCAAGUAGUCAAACCAGUCCGAAUAUUUAGAACAUCACCUCUGCAAGACGUUCACAGUAAACUCAUCAGCUGUAGUUGUACAUAGUCAUGGAUUUUGAACCUGGCCGUGGAGACAAUAAUGGAAACCUUAAGCCUGAACCCAAACCCACCAAUCCUGAUUCAACAGAGGUUGGCCCAGUGAGUCCCAAACCAAGAAAGAUUGUAGCCUUCACAGCCAAACUAAACAUUUGUGACAGCUACCCAACUCACAGCAGUAUCCUGAAGUUUGCCAACGUCCUGGUCAAUGAGGGAGAUGGCUAUACUACUCAUACAGGGAAAUUCAACUGCCCGCUGGCUGGCUUGUACCACUUCACAUUGCAUAUGUCCACCUACGGCCGCACCCAGUGUAGUAUUUUAAAGAAUGGGCAGCGGGUUGUCUCAGCAUACCACACCAGCCUGCCAAACAAGUGUUGCCAGGUAGUCAGCAUUGGUAGUGUGAUUGAGCUCACUGAAGGAGACCAGGUUUGGGUUCAUCUGUGGGGACCUACAAGACAUGACAUUUUUGCUACUGAAGACAAUGACACUGUGUUUGUUGGGUUUCUUUUGGCAUAAUAACUUCAUUGCAUACUAAGAGGGUGUCCUGGUAUGUAUUUAUUUAGUGCCAAUUUACUUGUGUUCAACUCCUCAGUGGUGUAAUUAAAUUGAUAAUGCAUUUUAUCGGUUAAGAACAACGCAUUUUUUAUAUUAUGAUAAUAAUAAACACGGAACGACACACGCAUGUUGGGUGUCAUUUAGUCCUCCACAGCAGGUGGCGCUGCAACUAAUAAACUGCCAUCGAAUUCUCUAA